AUUCUCUCUUUGCCUUUUGGCUUAGAUCAAGUGUAGUAUCUGUUCUUUUCAGUUUAAUCGCUGAAAUCACCCCAUCGGGGUGUUUCCGAUUAUUCUUGUUUUUGGGAAUCGCCGAGAGACCUAUGGCUUGCUAUGUCUCUUGGCACCGGUGUCCUUGCCGUUGCACUCCUGGCAUGCGACGCCGAAAACUC
rfam:Schizosaccharomyces japonicus yFS275 unplaced genomic scaffold supercont5.2, whole genome shotgun sequence.